rnacentral:rRNA from 1 species
UGGAAGCCGGUCGCGCUCGAAGUAUCCGCGCCAACAGCAAUGAGGCAGGAUCCUAAAGCAUGACUGGUGACUGGGAUG